rnacentral:rRNA from 1 species
CAGGCCUAACCAUGCAAGUGGAAGGGUAACAGGCCUAGCUUGCUAGGCGCUGACGAGUGCGGACGGGUGAGUAACGCGUGAGAAUCUGCCCAGUAGCGGGGGACAACCGGUGAAAACCAGGCUAAUACCGCAUACGCCCUACGGGGGAAAGGCUUCGCCACUAUUGGAUGAGCUCGCGUCGGAUUAGCUAGUUGGUGGGGUGGAGGCUACCAAGGCGACGAUCCGUACCUGGUUUGAGAGAAUGAUCAGCCACACGGGACUGAGACACGGCCCAGACUCCUACGGGAGGCAGCAGUGGGGAAUAUGGACAAUGGGCGAAAGCCUGAUCCAGCAAUGCCGCGUGUGUGAAGAAGCCUUCGGGUUGUAAAGCACUUUCAGCAGGGAGGAUAAUGACGUUACCUGAGAAGAAGCACCGGCUAACUUCGUGCCAGCAGCCG